rnacentral:rRNA from 1 species
AUGGCCAUGGCCAUGGCCAAGCUCGCCAUCCUCAUUCUGGCCGCCGCCAUUCUAGCUGGCACCAGCAACGGGAGACAGGGUUACCUGUACGAGCUCGAGGUGAAGACGGCGAACGACGCUCUGAGCGGCACAGAAGCGCUUGUCGCCUUCGAGUUCUACGAAUCCUCCGGCGGGGCCGGUGUGAUACGUUUGGUAGAUGGCGAUGGUGCCCUGUUCAAGAAGGGCAGCACCGACAGGCUCAUGUUCAACGAGCCACUAUCGUUCAAAACUUGCCGCCUCGGCCUCCGCCUCCUUGACACCGGUCUCCUUGACAAGGAAUGGGAGUGCGAGUACGUUCGACUCAGAAUCGAGGGCGAGCCAAGUGGCCAGUUUCCUGGCGAAGUGAUCAGGAAGUUCCGAGUGAAUCAGUGGGUUCGCCCAGGCAAGCGUGUCCAGAUCGACAUGUGUUAA